rnacentral:rRNA from 2 species
AGCUUGCUUCUAUGACGUUAGCGGCGGACGGGUGAGUAACACGUGGGCAACCUGCCUGUAAGACUGGGAUAACUUCGGGAAACCGAAGCUAAUACCGGAUAGGAUCUUCUCCUUCAUGGGGGAUGAUUGAAAGAUGGUUUCGGCUAUCACUUACAGAUGGGCCCGCGGUGCAUUAGCUAGUUGGUGAGGUAACGGCUCACCAAGGCAACGAUGCAUAGCCGACCUGAGAGGGUGAUCGGCCACACUGGGACUGAGACACGGCCCAGACUCCUACGGGAGGCAGCAGUAGGGAAUCUUCCGCAAUGGACGAAAGUCUGACGGAGCAACGCCGCGUGAGUGAUGAAGGCUUUCGGGUCGUAAAACUCUGUUGUUAGGGAAGAACAAGUACGAGAGUAACUGCUCGUACCUUGACGGUACCUAACCAGAAAGCCACGGCUAACUACGUGCCAGCAGCCGCGGUAAUACGUAGGUGGCAAGCGUUAUCCGGAAUUAUUGGGCGUAAAGCGCGCGCAGGCGGUUUCUUAAGUCUGAUGUGAAAGCCCACGGCUCAACCGUGGAGGGUCAUUGGAAACUGGGGAACUUGAGUGCAGAAGAGAAAAGC